CCCUUAGAUGUUCUGGGCUGCACGCGUGCUACAAUGAAGCGUCCAACAAGAUGCGAAGCCGAAAGGCUCAGCGGAUCUUUGAAGUCGUUUCGUGACCGGGACAGUUGAUUGCAAUUAUUCGACUCGAACGAGGAAUUCCUUGUAAUCGCGAUUCAUCAUAUCGCGCUGAAUACGUCCCUGCCCUUUGUACACACCGCCCGUCGCUCCUACCGAUUGAGCGAUCCGGUGAAUUAUUUGGAGUGUCCACGCAAGCCAAUCCGUUUACGUGGGUGCGAAAUUUUGUAAACCUUAUCGCUUAGAGGAAGGAGAANUCGUANCA
rnacentral:rRNA from 1 species